GACGAACGCUGGCGGCGCGCUUAACACAUGCAAGUCGAACGGAAAGGCCUGCUUUCCCUUGUGGAUUGCGGGUACUCGAGUGGCGAACGGGUGAGUAACACGUGAGUGAUCUGCCCCCAACUUGGGUAUAAGCCUGGGAAACUGGGUCUAAUUCCCGAUAGGACUGCAGGGUGGUGCCUGUGGUGGAAAACGAUUUUCUAGUGGUUGGGGAUGAGCUCGCGGCCUAUCAGCUUGUUGGUGGGGUAAUGGCCUACCAAGGCGGCGACGGGUAGCCGGCCUGAGAGGGUGGACGGCCGCAUUGGGACUGAGAUACGGCCCAGACUCCUACGGGAGGCAGCAGUGGGGAAUAUUGCACAAUGGGCGGAAGCCUGAUGCAGCGACGCCGCGUGGGGGAUGACGGCCUUCGGGUUGUAAACUCCUUUCGACCGAGAGGAAGCCACCUGGUUGGAAGGGUGGUGACGGUAGUGGUAGAAGAAGCACCGGCUAACUACGUG
rnacentral:rRNA from 1 species